rnacentral:rRNA from 1 species
GAUGAACGCUGGCGGCGUGCCUAAUACAUGCAAGUCGAGCGAACAGACGAGGAGCUUGCUCCUCUGACGUUAUCGGCGGACGGGUGAGUAACACGUGGAUAACCUACCUAUAAGACUGGGAUAACUUCGGGAAACCGGAGCUAAUACCGGAUAAUAUAUUGAACCGCAUGGUUCAAUAGUGAAAGACGGUUUUGCUGUCACUUAUAGAUGGAUCCGCGCCGCAUUAGCUAGUUGGUAAGGUAACGGCUUACCAAGGCAACGAUGCGUAGCCGACCUGAGAGGGUGAUCGGCCACCCGGGAACUGAGACACGGUCCAGACUCCUACGGGAGGCAGCAGUAGGGAAUCUUCCGCAAUGGAGGAAAGCCUGACGGAGCAAAGCCGCGUGAGUGAUGAAGGUCUUAGGAUCGUAAAACUCUGUUAUUAGGGAAGAACAAAUGUGUAAGUAACUAUGAACGUCUUGACGGUACCUAAUCAGAAAGCCACGGCUAACUACGUG